rnacentral:rRNA from 3 species
CACUAUCGUUAACUGAAUACAUAGGUUAACGAGGCGAACCGGGGGAACUGAAACAUCUAAGUACCCCGAGGAAAAGAAAUCAACCGAGAUUCCCCCAGUAGCGGCGAGCGAACGGGGAGCAGCCCAGAGUCUGAAUCAGCUUGUGUGUUAGUGGAACGGUCUGGAAAGUCCGACGGUACAGGGUGAUAGUCCCGUACACCAAAAUGCACAGGCUGUGAACUCGAAGAGUAGGGCGGGACACGUGGUAUCCUGUCUGAAUAUGGGGGGACCAUCCUCCAAGGCUAAAUACUCCUGACUGACCGAUAGUGAACCAGUACCGUGAGGGAAAGGCGAAAAGAACCCCGGCGAGGGGAGUGAAAAAGAACCUGAAACCGUGUACGUACAAGCAGUGGGAGCACCUUCGGGUGUGACUGCGUACCUUUUGUAUAAUGGGUCAGCGACUUAUAUUCUGUAGCAAGGUUAACCGUAUAGGGGAGCCGCAGGGAAACCGAGUCUUAACUGGGCGUUAAGUUGCAGGGUAUAGACCCGAAACCCGGUGAUCUAGCCAUGGGCAGGUUGAAGGUUGGGUAACACUAACUGGAGGACCGAACCGACUAAUGUUGAAAAAUUAGCGGAUGACUUGUGGCUGGGGGUGAAAGGCCAAUCAAACCGGGAGAUAGCUGGUUCUCCCCGAAAGCUAUUUAGGUAGCGCCUCGUGAAUUCAUCUUCGGGGGUAGAGCACUGUUUCGGCUAGGGGGUCAUCCCGACUUACCAACCCGAUGCAAACUACGAAUACCGAAGAAUGUUAUCACGGGAGACACACGGCGGGUGCUAACGUCCGUCGUGAAGAGGGAAACAACCCAGACCGCCAGCUAAGGUCCCAAAGUCAUGGUUAAGUGGGAAACGAUGUGGGAAGGCACAGACAGCCAGGAUGUUGGCUUAGAAGCAGCCAUCAUUUAAAGAAAGCGUAAUAGCUCACUGGUCGAGUCGGCCUGCGCGGAAGAUGUAACGGGGCUAAACCAUGCACCGAAGCUGCGGCAGCGACACUAUGUGUUGUUGGGUAGGGGAGCGUUCUGUAAGCCUGCGAAGGUG